CAACCCUUUGAGAAUCUACCCCUACGGCGGUGAAACGGCGGGUUUUGUUGGCGGAUUCGUCCGCCAGCAUGCCGCCUGGCCAGCGGAGCCCGCCGGCAGCGCCAAACUCUUCAGUUUUUCAGUGGAAGUCUUCUGAGUGGCAAAAACAAAAUAAGCAAAACUUUCAACAACGGAUCUCUUGGUUCUGGCAUCGAUGAAGAACGCAGCGAAAUGCGAUAAGUAAUGUGAAUUGCAGAAUUCAGUGAAUCAUCGAAUCUUUGAACGCACAUUGCGCCCGGUGGUAUUCCGCCGGGCAUGCCUGUUCGAGCGUCAUUUCUGCCCUCAGGCCUUGCCGCUUAGGCGGUGCAGGCUCUGGUUUUGGGGCGUGCGGUCCCCCGCAGCCCCCAAUUGCAUCGGCGUACGCCGUACGUUGCCCCCUGCGUAGUGGUUUACUUUCUCGCAUCGGGCCGUGCCGCAGUGCCGCCGGAAAACCCGUUAUGAUAAUAACGUUUCUGAAGUUUGACCUCGGAUCAGGUAGGGUUACCCGCUGAACUUAAGC
rnacentral:sRNA from 1 species